GAAGAAGUGAAUUAAGGGCAUUUGGUGGAUGCCUUGGCAUGCACAGGCGAAGAAGGACGUGAUACGCUGCGAAAAGCCGUGGGGAGCUGCGAAUAAGCUUUGAUCCAUGGAUCUCCGAAUGGGGCAACCCACCUUAAAUGCUUGGAAAAUCCAGUCUGUUUUAACGAACGGCCUGGGUUUCCAAGCAUUAUUAUAAGGUAUCUUACUUUCGAAUACAUAGGGGUAAGAAGCGAACGCAGGGAACUGAAACAUCUAAGUACCUGCAGGAAAGGACAUCAACCGAGACUCCGUAAGUAGUGGCGAGCGAACGCGGACCAGGCCAGUGGCAAUGAUGAAUAAAGCGGAACGAUCUGGAAAGGUCGGCCAUAGAGGGUGAUAGCCCCUUACGCGUAGAACAGUCAUUGUCCUUGAGUAGGGCGGGGCACGUGAAAUCCUGUCUGAACAUGGGGAGACCACUCUCCAAGCCUAAGUACUCGUGCAUGACCGAUAGCGAACAAGUACCGUGAGGGAAAGGUGAAAAGCACCCCGACGAGGGGAGUGAAAUAGAACCUGAAACCGGAUGCCUACAAACAGUCGGAGCCCGAGCCANNNNNNNNNNNNNNNNNNNNNNNNNNNNNNNNNNNNNNNNNNNNNNNNNNNNNNNNNNNNNNNNNNNNNNNNNNNNNNNNNNNNNNNNNNNNNNNNNNNNNNNNNNNNUUGGGUGACGGCGUACCUUUUGUAUAAUGGGUCAACGACUUAGUGUAACUAGCAAGCUUAAGCCGGUAGGUGUAGGCGCAGCGAAAGCGAGUCUGAAUAGGGCGAUUUAGUUAGUUGCAUUAGACCCGAAACCGAGUGAUCUAGCCAUGAGCAGGCUGAAGGUUGGGUAACACCAACUGGAGGGCCGAACCCGUAUCUGUUGCAAUAGAUUGGGAUGACUUGUGGCUAGGGGUGAAAGGCCAAUCAAACUCGGAAAUAGCUGGUUCUCCGCGAAAUCUAUUUAGGUAGAGCGUCGACCGAAUACCCUCGGGGGUAGAGCACUGGAUGGGCUAUGGGGACUCACCGUCUUACUGAUCCUAACCAAACUCCGAAUACCGAGGAGUACUAGUCGGCAGACACACGGCGGGUGCUAACGUCCGUCGUGAAAAGGGCAACAACCCUGACCUCCAGCUAAGGUCCCCAAGUCAUGGCUAAGUGGGAAAGGAUGUGAGGAUCCCAAAACAACCAGGAUGUUGGCUUAGAAGCAGCCAUCAUUUAAAGAAAGCGUAACAGCUCACUGGUCUAAAUAAGGGUCUUUGCGCCGAAAAUGUAACGGGGCUAAAGCCAUGCACCGAAGCUGAGGAUUGUGGCAACCUUCGGGUUGCUUCAGUGGUAGCGGAGCGUUCCGUAAGUCUGUGAAGGCGGACCCGUGAGGGCUGCUGGAGAUAUCGGAAGUGCGAAUGUUGACAUGAGUAACGAUAAAGGGAGUGAGAGACUCCCUCGCCGAAAGACCAAGGGUUCCUGCUUAAAGUUAAUCUGAGCAGGGUUAGCCGGCCCCUAAGACGAGGCGGACACGCGUAGUCGAUGGGAACCACGUUAAUAUUCGUGGGCCUGGUGGUAGUGACGGAUCUCGUGUGUUGUACAUUCUUACUGGAUUGAAUGUGCGGCGAAGAGGUUCCAGGAAAUAGCUCCACCGUAUAGACCGUACCCGAAACCGACACAGGUGGUCAGGUAGAGUAUACCAAGGCGCUUGAGAGAACUAUGUUGAAGGAACUCGGCAAAUUGCACGCGUAACUUCGGAAGAAGCGUGACCCUUUUGUACGCAAGUAUGAUGGGGUGGCACAGACCAGGGGGUAGCGACUGUUUAUCAAAAACACAGGGCUCUGCGAAGUAGCAAUACGACGUAUAGGGUCUGACGCCUGCCCGGUGCUGGAAGGUUAAAGGGAGGGGUGCAAGCUCUGAACUGAAGCCCCAGUAAACGGCGGCCGUAACUAUAACGGUCCUAAGGUAGCGAAAUUCCUUGUCGGGUAAGUUCCGACCUGCACGAAUGGCGUAACGACUUCCCCGCUGUCUCCAACAUAGACUCAGUGAAAUUGAAUUCCCCGUGAAGAUGCGGGGUUCCUGCGGUCAGACGGAAAGACCCCGUGCACCUUUACUAUAGCUUUACACUGGCAUUCGCCAAGGCAUGUGUAGGAUAGGUGGUAGGCUUUGAAGCAUGGACGCCAGUUCGUGUGGAGCCAUCCUUGAAAUACCACCCUUAUCUUCGUGGAUGUCUAACCGCGGUCCGUUAUCCGGAUCCGGGACAGUGUAUGGUGGGUAGUUUGACUGGGGCGGUCGCCUCCGAAAGAGUAACGGAGGCGCGCGAUGGUGGGCUCAGACCGGUCGGAAAUCGGUCGUCGAGUGCAAUGGCAUAAGCCCGCCUGACUGCGAGACUGACAAGUCGAGCAGAGACGAAAGUCGGUCAUAGUGAUCCGGUGGUCCCGUGUGGAAGGGCCAUCGCUCAACGGAUAAAAGGUACGCCGGGGAUAACAGGCUGAUGACCCCCAAGAGUCCAUAUCGACGGGGUUGUUUGGCACCUCGAUGUCGACUCAUCGCAUCCUGGGGCUGGAGCAGGUCCCAAGGGUAUGGCUGUUCGCCAUUUAAAGCGGUACGUGAGUUGGGUUCAGAACGUCGUGAGACAGUUCGGUCCCUAUCUGCCGUGGGUGUAGGAAUAUUGACAGGAUCUGUCCCUAGUACGAGAGGACCGGGAUGGACGUAUCUCUGGUGGAUCUGUUGUCCUGCCAAGGGCAUAGCAGAGUAGCUAUAUACGGAAUGGAUAACCGCUGAAGGCAUCUAAGCGGGAAACCAACCUGAAAACGAGUGUUCCCUAUCAGAGCCGUGGAAGACGACCACGUUGAUAGGACGGGUGUGGAAGCACAGCAAUGUGUGAAGCUUACCGUUACUAAUAGCUCGAUCGACUUCUUCGUUCCCAUU
rnacentral:rRNA from 1 species